GGCAACUUGGCCGAGUGGUUAAGGCGCUGGAAUUAGGCACAGCUGUGGCGCAAUCCAGUCCUUCGGGGCGUGAGUUCGAACCUCACAGUUGUCA